rnacentral:lncRNA from 1 species
GUGUACCUUUCAUAAACAGAAGCAGCAAAAUAACUAGAUCCUGUGUAGAAAACUCCAUUAUGUUCUUCAUUUAAAUUUAGGUGUUUUAAAAAAAAAAUAAACAUCAAUUUUUGCAUUUUAUAAGAUGUUUACUUCCCUAGAUAGUUUUGAAAAUUCAUAAGCAGCCAGCUGCAUCAGGCUUGACUGUGUAUCUCCAAAGUCACUUUGGAGUGUUUAUUUUCAAUGUUACCAAGAGCAAUAGCACAUAAAUUAUUAAGCUGAUUUAGAACUCUUCAUUUUAGUGUUUAAACAACUCCUCAACAAAUCCCCAAAGAGUCAAUAGGCAUAACUUUUCUGGUGUUUGU